CCGUCUGCCCGUCUCUCACCUCCUAGCAUCCUCAUCCACGAGCGGCCUCUGCAGCCGGCUGAGAACCGGCCGCGCUCGCAAUCACAACUCCACGAGCACGAGCGUUCCCCCAGCAGCGAGAUUCUGACGCAUGUCCCUUAAGUUUUUCCCUCGAGACAUUCCAGAUUGACCUAAAGCUCCUCAUCUCCAUUUUCUAAGAUGCGAUGUGGGAGGUUGGCGCUCGCGGCAUGGAGCACUCUGCGGUUACCCGGCCCUUCCAGCAAGAUGAGGAAGGUGCACACGCGGAUGUCUGCUCGAUCCAUCCAUCAAUCGCCUAGGGAUUGGAUACCACGAGCGGACUACUUUGUGGGCAACGCUGGUGUUGACGGGACAAUCCGUGUUGAGGACUGUCGUCCGGUACGACGAAGGAGGGCACGCGCCGCCCGUUCCGCAGCCAGGUCGUCGAGCCGACAGCCGGCCACGAAGACGGGGAGGUAUCUGUCCGCGGACGUCUUACUGCUGGGAGCUGGAAGAACUGGUCGAUUUAUUUUUCUGAGAAAGACCGCUUGGGGAAAUUUCCCCAAGGAGAUAAGCAAUUUAUCCCUAUCUAUCUCUCUCUUCAUUAUGUUUCCCAAGGAGAUAAGAAAUUUAUCCCUAUCUAUCUCUCUCUUCAUUAUGUUUUUUUUUUACCGUCAUGUUCUGUGUAGGAGUAGCACAAGUGCCUUGCAGCUGUUUGUGUUUAUGCCUAAAUGGAGAAAGGGGGAGCUGUUUGUCAUAAUCGGCGCAAGUGGCUUGGCUGGAUUAUGACUUGCGAGGGAGAGGCUCCACAGCAGUGUCACGCCCAACAGUGAGACACUCCAUAGCUGCUGCCGCAUCUCAAUUUAGAUGAUGUAGGUACCUAAUGUAGACUCACAGUGCCGGAUACUAUGUGGUUUACCUGAUAUGGUUACAACAGAGUUUCUGGCACGGGUUGUUCGUUGCAGAGUAGACUGUUGUUCUGACCAGUGUUGAUAUAGAUGAUUUGCCUGAUGGUGAGCCCAAACGUGGGGUAUUGGUGAGAUGCUUAACCUCAGACAUCCAAGGUGAUUUGGAUAUUGUACAGAUGAUUUGCACAGAUGAUUUCAAUGAUGCGGCGUUGAAGCACGUUCCGGCUGAAAAGGAUUGGGAUCCAUGGCGGUUCGUCAGUGUUGCUACAGGACGGUAUUAUGAUGCCAUAAAUGAAAAAAGGUGAGGUCAAUGGACAAUGGUAGACCAAAAGGGCCUGAUUAUGAAAGACAGGACCUUGCAUAAUUAUUGAUGAUCAGAUGAUUUUCAAGGACUUCCAAGUUACCAUACAUUAAUCUAAUUACAUAUUAUGCAAGUAUUGACAUGGUAAUCAAGAAGGCUAUGCAUGCUACUGUUUUUUUGUUUAUUCUGAGUGCUAAUUUUCAGAUGUGGAUGCUCGAAGGUGAGAGAUCUUGCUGGGCAAGUGGCCGUUUCUGUUCUUCGGUUGUUUGAUCUCUAUGGAUGGAGAUUUAUGUCUCGCUUCCAUCAGCCCAGCCGGAACCUUCGGUUCCUCUUCUACCUAUUUGUUUUUCUGGUUUUCAGCAUUGUACUUUCGUAUUCUUUUGCCUCGGCAUCAAUAUUGGUUCCCUGCCGAGUAGAAACACGUAUCGGCGUCAAUUGGUCUCCACGGGUGCACUAUGUAUAAUCUUCUGCACUAAGUAUGCUAGAGCUGCAGCAUUUUCUCUACUGCCA